rnacentral:rRNA from 1 species
GACGAACGCUGGCGGCGUGCUUAACACAUGCAAGUCGAGCGGAAAGGCCCUGUCUGGGGUACUCGCGCGGGGAACGGGUGGGUAAGACGCAAGUAAUCUGCCCUUCCCUUACGGUGGAAUAACGGCAGCGAAGGCUAAUACCUAAUAGGAACAUUCCUCGCAUGAGUGGUGGGGGGUAAGUAUUUCGGUGGGGGAUGUGCUCGCGGCCUAUCAGCUUGUUGGUGGGGUAAUGGCUUACCAAGGCUUCGACGGGUAGCCGGCCUGAGAGGGUGACCGGCCACACUGGGACUGAGACACGGCCCAGACUCCUACGGGAGGCAGCAGUGGGGAAUAUUGGACAAUGGGCGGAAGCCUGAUGCAGCAACGCCGCGUGAGGGAUGACGGCCUUCGGGUUGUAAACCUCUUUCACCUGUGACGAAGCGAAAGUGACGGUAGCAGGAGAAGAAGCACCGGCUAACUACGUG